rnacentral:lncRNA from 1 species
UUUUUUUCUAUUCACCCUACAUCAAUCCAACAGAGAAGAAAAAAAUAUCAUCAUCUUCAUCUUCAAUACUUACCAGAGCAGAGUUAGGAGAGGAAAGCGAUUGGGGUCACCAACACUUGCUCCAUUCCUUAUGGUGUCUUGGUGACAAUGUCGCGACGGAGAGCGAUAGCAUCGAUAAGGCUACAACGUCUGAGGAAGGUGGUCGUGGCGGCAUCGUCGGCAGCGGUUUCAAACGCGUGAGUGACGAGGACAAGGAAGAAGAAGGGAGUAACACCACCGGCCCUAGGAAGUGCCAUCGGCUCUUAGCGGCGCUGGCGACGCUGGCGGCGAUUUUGACGGAGAACGACGACCUCAACUUGGUGGCUCCAGCAACGAGCAUCGUUGCUGACGAGGUCGGGGACAGUGGUUGGUGGUGGUCGGUUGGGUGGAGAGGAGUGUCUCUAGAUUCGUCUAUGGAGGAGGAGACCCUAGGUCUCUGAAGCAGUGCUUGGCAUAAUGAGGGGAAAACUUUGAAACCCCUAAAGUGUUUCUGAUGCUAGGGCAAAAGAUUUUUGGGCCUGGCUCUGGGCCGCAUUCCUUCUGCUCACCACCACUUGCAUUCCCAUUCACACUCCCCUGCCAUUUCUGCAGACAAAGGAAGAAAAACGCUUUAGGCCCAUUGGCCCGCAUUCUCUCUGCUUGCCGCCACCUACGUUUCCUAUCCACACUCCCUUUUUCCUUUCUGGCAAACAAUAAAAGAGGCCUUGGGCCUGGUCAGCAAAGCAUCCAGUGGCACCCCCAAUCUUCACAGUUGCACCCCUUCAUUCAUCUGGGCUCAGACCGAAAACCACUAUGUGGCACCUCCAACUUUGCUCAUGCA